rnacentral:lncRNA from 14 species
UCAAAUGCUCCAAUUAAUUGUUGCCUUUCAUUUCAACAGGAGGCAAACUCUAAUUUGUCCCACUGGAGAAAUCAACCCUCAAUGUUGCUAGCAGUGAUGAACUAUGGUCAUGAAGUGGAAGUUCUAGGGAUCUCCUGGUAAUUCAAUUUCCAAUAAAAGAGACUAUCGUCCUACAGUCAGGAAGCCAACAUUUCCAUGGAAACUCCCAAAAAUAAAGACUUCGCCAGCCUUGUGAGAACAUACCUGCAAGAGCAAGGAUUACCUGUCAAAAGUGAUUCUCCCUCUUCACUGGUGUCACCUAAGGACAUUUUUGUGGACUGAAGCUUCCUGUUGUACACAUGACAAAUUUUCACAGAGAAGUAGGCUGGUGUUCAUGAGAAGAAAUCUUCCCAGAAGUGCACAGGAAUGGUUUUCCCUGGACAUCAGUGAUUCAUGCAAACUCCAGAUCACAUCAGUAAAAAGAAGUCUUACAAGGAAGGACAUGCAGUAUCUCACAGAUCACAGCCUUAAGGAUCCAGGACCAGUCAGAAACUGCAUCUCCUCAACUGAAAAGUGCUGGGCCUAUAAUCAAAAGGAUACUCAGUGCCUAGAACAGCAAUAUUGACGCAGCCUGGCAUUUCUGUAUACUACAGUACAAUCAUAGCCCUUUGAUGAGCUGUGUGUGAAAGAGUUCCACAAAUAUGGAUUACAGGCAACUCUUCAAGAUCUGUUUUGAAAGGAUGUAUGUGAUAUUGAGGUAGUUGGAACCUGCAUACAAAGAGAAUAGGUAUGUUCCUAAUGCAGUCUGGACCUCAAUUAGCAUGAACUGUCUUAUCUGUAUGGCCUGUUGAGGAUAACAUGAACACAGUACAAAGGGAGCUCUGUGCCACAUCUGGGUGUCACACCAAGAGCAGAGAGUGGAAGGAAGGAGGUGAAAUCUGUGAUUCUGAUAUGAAGGUAAGAUGCACGAUGCUGGCAUCUGGCAACCAGAAGAGACAAAUGAGAUAGAGCUGGGCUUCUGGCUGCUUGUCAGCCAGGGCAUAGGCAAGAGUAACAAGAGCUUUUAACUCACAUACAAAGGUCAGGAUGGCAAGAACAGAAUUAUGGCCCAUGUUCAUAAUUCAGCUGCAAAUUUUCUAGCUUUACAGAGUUACAGUAAAACUCUACCACAACAUUCUAUAAUUAAUCCUAAACCCACAGGCAUUCAAAGUUCAUCACAAAUGACCAGGUCCACAAAACAUCUAGACAUAUAGCUCCCACUGAAAAUCAAUGGGAAUUAAGCCCCUAAAUACUCUUACAGUUCUGACCAAAUAAUUAUUACCCCACCCCUUGAAAACCAUAAAUUGUGCCCACAUUGUGAAACAAACCUCCCUUGCUCAUAGCUUUUUUCAGCCCUGUACUUCACUGUAACUCCUCAG